CAACCAGAGAUACGUGCACAAUUGAGAGUGCGACAGCAAGAGUGGAUUGGCUAUGUUAAAAGGAGGCGCUGAGACAAAAACAGCAGAUUAUUUAUCCCAUUCGCACUAAGGCCGAUACAAAAGAAAAUCGGUAUAGACAUGGAAAAAAUAUUUUAUUUAGUAUACACCCCAAGAUGAAAAACUGAGUUUAAUUUAGCUAAAAUCAAGAAACUUACGAGGAAAGUCAAUAUUUCAAACGCAACGGCAGUCUACUACGGUGUUUUAACACUCAAUUACACAAAUAACGUUAUAAAAAAACUAGUUAAUAAAACAUCAAACCAAUCCGCAACUUUUCAUUUGCACUCUACAAUUGGCAGCCAACACCUAAAA